AAUUUGAUGGUUAACACAUAUGACAACCCCUAGAGCACACCAGACUAGCAGAGAACGCAUACUCUGAAGGAGGCAGAGGCAUGCCUGCUUGAGAUCCAACGGUCCCACGUGCAAGUUUCCUCUGAUAGGGCCUGGGUACUGCUGCCACGGUGAGAAUGGGGGAUCCACCAACAGUCAGAGAAGCUUUGCAGUCGAGAUAAUUGUUUAGCAGGCGGAGCAGUUUCUGUUAGACACUAAGAACUGCUAUAAGA